rnacentral:rRNA from 1 species
UACGUAGGUGGCAAGCGUUAUCCGGAAUUACUGGGCGUAAAGCGCACGCAGGCGGUCUUUUAAGUUUGACGUGAAAGCUCCCGGCUUAACUGGGAGAGGUCGUUGAAGACUGGAAGACUUGAGGCAAUGAGAGGGGUGUAGAAUUCCCGGUGUAGUGGUGGAAUGCGUAGAUAUCGGGGGGAAUACCAGUGGCGAAAGCGGCACCCUAGCAUUAGCCUGACGCUCAUGUGCGAAAGCGUGGGGAGCGAACAGG